CUUUACUGUAGCUUUGUAUUGGACUUUGAACAGAUCUGUGUAGGAUAGGUGGGAGGCUUUGAAGUAGGGUCGCUAGAUUCUAUGGAGCCAACGUUGAAAUACCACCCUGGUGUGUUUGAGGUUCUAACCUAGGUCCAUUAUCUGGAUCGGGGACAGUGCAUGGUAGGCAGUUUGACUGGGGCGGUCUCCUCCCAAAGCGUAACGGAGGAGUUCGAAGGUACGCUAGUUACGGUCGGACAUCGUGACGAUAGUGCAAUGGCAUAAGCGUGCUUAACUGCGAGACUGACAAGUCGAGCAGAUGCGAAAGCAGGACAUAGUGAUCCGGUGGUUCUGUAUGGAAGGGCCAUCGCUCAACGGAUAAAAGGUA
rnacentral:rRNA from 1 species